AUUGAACGCUGGCGGCACGCCUUACACAUGCAAGUCGAACGGCAGCACGGGUGCUUGCACCUGGUGGCGAGUGGCGAACGGGUGAGUAAUACAUCGGAACGUACCUUAUCGUGGGGGAUAACGCAGCGAAAGCUGUGCUAAUACCGCAUACGCCCUGAGGGGGAAAGCGGGGGAUCGCAAGACCUCGCGCGAUUAGAGCGGCCGAUGCCUGAUUAGCUUGUUGGUGGGGUAAAAGCCCACCAAGGCGACGAUCAGUAGCUGGUCUGAGAGGAAGAUCAGCCACACUGGGACUGAGACACGGCCCAGACUCCUACGGGAGGCAGCAGUGGGGAAUUUUGGACAAUGGGGGCAACCCUGAUCCAGCAAUGCCGCGUGAGUGAAGAAGGCCUUCGGGUUGUAAAGCUCUUUUGUCAGGGAAGAAACACCGGCUCUAACACAGUCCGGGAAUGACGGUACCUGAAGAAUAAGCACCGGCUAACUACGUGCCAGCAGCCGCCGUAA
rnacentral:rRNA from 1 species